AAUGAUGGCCAGUGGUUAUAUAAGGUCACUAGUCCUCUCACUGCUCACGUUACAUACCUCAUACAUCAUCUAGAGAGAGUUGAGCAUUGUUAGUGAC